rnacentral:rRNA from 1 species
UUAGGAAUUUUGGGCAAUGGGCGAAAGCCUGACCCAGCAACGCCGCGUGGGUGAUGAAGGCCCUCGGGUCGUAAAGCCCUUUUCCCAGGGAAGAUAGUGACGGUACCUGGGGAAUCAGCCCCGGCUAACUACGUGCCAGCAGCCGCGGUAAUACGUAGGGGGCAAGCGUUGUCCGGAUUUAUUGGGCGUAAAGCGCUCGCAGGUGGUCCGUCGCGUCGUGCGUGAAAGACCCCGGCUCAACUGGGGAGGGUCGUGCGAUACGGGCGGACUGGAGGCCAGUAGGGGGAUGCGGAAUUCCGGGUGUAGUGGUAGAAUGCGUAGAGGUCCGGAGGAACACCAGCGGCAAAGGCGGCAUCCUGGACUGGUCCUGACACUCAGGAGCGAAAGCGUGGGGAGCGAUCCGG